UCUGGGACAAGCCCUGGAAACGGGGUCUAAUACCGGAUGACACCCCCUCUCGCAUGGGAGGGGGUUGAAAGCUCCGGCGGUGCAGGAUGAGCCCGCGGCCUAUCAGCUUGUUGGUGAGGUAGUGGCUCACCAAGGCGACGACGGGUAGCCGGCCUGAGAGGGCGACCGGCCACACUGGGACUGAGACACGGCCCAGACUCCUACGGGAGGCAGCAGUGGGGAAUAUUGCACAAUGGGCGAAAGCCUGAUGCAGCGACGCCGCGUGAGGGAUGACGGCCUUCGGGUUGUAAACCUCUUUCAGCAGGGAAGAAGCGAAAGUGACGGUACCUGCAGAAGAAGCGCCGGCUAACUACGUGCCAGCAGCCGCGGUAAUACGUAGGGCGCAAGCGUUGUCCGGAAUUAUUGGGCGUAAAGAGCUCGUAGGCGGCUUGUCACGUCGGUUGUGAAAGCCCGGGGCUUAACCCCGGGUCUGCAGUCGAUACGGGCAGGCUAGAGUUCGGUAGGGGAGAUCGGAAUUCCUGGUGUAGCGGUGAAAUGCGCAGAUAUCAGGAGGAACACCGGUGGCGAAGGCGGAUCUCUGGGCCGAUACUGACGCUGAGGAGCGAAAGCGUGGGGAGCGAACAGGAUUAGAUACCCUGGUAGUCCACGCCGUAAACGGUGGGCACUAGGUGUGGGCAACAUUCCACGUUGUCCGUGCCGCAGCUAACGCAUUAAGUGCCCCGCCUGG
rnacentral:rRNA from 1 species